GACGAACGCUGGCGGCGUGCUUAACACAUGCAAGUCGAACGGUAAGGCCCUUCGGGGUACACGAGUGGCGAACGGGUGAGUAACACGUGGGUGAUCUGCCCUGCACUUCGGGAUAAGCCUGGGAAACUGGGUCUAAUACCGGAUAGGACCACUGCCUGCAUGGGUGGUGGUGGAAAGCUUUUGCGGUGUGGGAUGGGCCCGCGGCCUAUCAGCUUGUUGGUGGGGUGAUGGCCUACCAAGGCGACGACGGGUAGCCGGCCCGAGAGGGUGACCGGCCACACUGGGACUGAGAUACGGCCCAGACUCCUACGGGAGGCAGUAGUGGGGAAUAUUGCACAAUGGGCGCAAGCCUGAUGCAGCGACGCCGCGUGAGGGAUGACGGCCUUCGGGUUGUAAACCUCUUUCAGCACCGACGAAGCGCAAGUGACGGUAGGUGCAGAAGAAGGACCGGCCAACUACGUGCCAGCAGCCGCCGUAA
rnacentral:rRNA from 1 species